rnacentral:rRNA from 1 species
AGGGCCGAGAACUGUUUCACCGCGGGCAGAUCCAUUUCUUCUGCCACCGAAUACAUUAGCAUGGGAUAAUGGAAUAGGACCCUGUCCUCCUAUUUUCAGUUGGUUUUGGCAGCGCGAGGACUAGGGUAAUGAUUAAUAGGGAUAGUUGGGGGCACUAAUAUUUAAUCGUCAGAGGUGAAAUCCUUGGAUUUAUGAAAGAUUAACCCCUGCGAAAGCAUCUGCCAAGGAUGUUUUCAUUAAUCAAGAACGAAAGUUAGGGGAUCGAAGACGAUCAGAUACCGUCGUAGUCUUAACCAUAAACGAUGCCGACCAGCGAUUAGGAGACGUUGAAUACAAAACACCACCAUCGGUUGCGGUCGUCCUUGGCGUCUCGGUUUCGGCCGGGGCGCGGGGAUGGCUUAGCCCGGUGGCACCGGUGAAUGACUCCCUG